GUGCGAGCGGUAGUCCACCACCCCUUUCUGUGAUUCUUGGUUUCGCCCCUAUAACCUUCCAUGCGUGACAAACCCCUAUGGAUUGAAACCCUAGUAUGGCACACCCUAGUAUAAUAAAGCAAAGGGCGACACAGAGGUAUUUCUUGUCUUGGUCUAGUCGAAACUUAGGACGUAGUGGAUCAUUCACCAUCACCAUCGUGUACGUGCAUCGUGGAUGCGAUCAACGUUCAUGCAUCACAAGUACCUCGACCAUGAAACCGUUCUUCAAGUUCAACCUUUGAGGAGCAUCGCACAGUCUAUGAGCUGCCGGGGACUAAUUCCUUUAGCUGCGUUGGACUCAUUCUUUUAGCGGCGUUCUCCGUGGAUCAUCUCUUAUUCAUAGUAGGACCAUCGUUCAUGGAGGACAUCAUAGUAGGACCGUCGUUCAUUCAUCGCGAACGGCCUAGGCAAGGGAAUCAUUAUGAAAGUCACUUCACCUAUUCUGCGAACGAUCAUCGGACCCGGACCCCGAGGCACAAUUCCAUCAUUCAUUCAUAGGUAGGUCGUCCACACACUCGUUCUUUGCUCUGGUCCAGCAACUACGUCUUCGUUCGUUCGUUCAUCGAUGGUCCCGGGGCAUAUAAAGUACUUCGCUCGUUCAUGCAUCUUGGGUGCGAUCAACGUUAACAAAUGUUUGUUCGGGAACUGCUAAAGUUAAUAAGAAUAAUGGGUGUGUUGUCGAUUCAAGAGAUGGAUCAGGGGGCCUAAGAUCAUAGGUUUUGUAGUUGAAAGCCGGUGUUCAAGCCAACAACUCUACCUGGGAACUUUUCCUCUGUAUAGUAGCAAAUAGCCUGCCUUUUUUCUAUGAUUGAUAUACCAAUAAGAAUAGAGGGCCCGCACUACGUCCAUGAUUGAUAGAAUCACUACACUAGUAUUUUGGGGUCCAUCCCACCUAUACAAACAUAGAGAAAACAUAUAGAAAAGAGAAAACAAAACAUAUAGAAAAGAGAAAACAUAUAGGAAAUGGAAAUAGAAGAGACCUUUUUUCUAAUACAUUUCCUUCAUAGAAUAGGGGAGAAUAUUAUAUACAUGAACUGAAUCAUCAAUAUGAGAUGAGGUAAUGGUAAUGCCAGGCCCAACUACAAGGAUUAGACCAGGGAAUGUAAGGCAGUUGACCUAAAGCGAGAGCCAGGAAAGCAAUACUUUUGUUACGGCGCAAGGGGCUGGGUUUCUAGCUUAGGUGUUUCGUUCUUGAUUCUGAUUUUCAUUGGCGUAGUUCAGUAGCGCACGUAGUAGUAAUGAGUGACGCAAUACAUAGGAAGAGGGACGGACAGUUCCGACUGAGACUGAAAGGAACACGGGGAAGGCAGAGUAGGCUAACAAUCACAUAAAUAGGAUCCCCGGAUCAGUAGUUCGAUUACCGGUUAUGAGUUAAAGUCCCAUUGACAGUGGUUUCAUUCAAGUAGUCGUAAGUUAGAGUCUUGUUAACGAUGGUUUGAUCCCUUAGGGAAUACAUAUGUUAGAUCAGUAGGGGCGGAGUGAAAACAAGUAAGGACAAGCUCAUAGCAAGUAAAGCAAUACCUUAUACCGAGGUAGGUGUGUGGACCUCUAAGGCAUUAGUUGAAGGACCCGGAUCAGUGUUUAGAGAGUUAGAUCGAGGGGCGGGGGACUGAUAAAACGAAACACAGUUAUGGGCUUGGGAAGCUAGUGAGUUAGGCUUGAAGAAAGGACAUUGAGAUCGGUAGCGGCGGACUAAAAGCAGUAGUCGAUGCUAGUUUAGAUGGGGCUUGUUUAUGCCUGCCUAUACGAACCACAAAGAUAAGCCCUCUCUCCCC
rnacentral:lncRNA from 1 species